GGUCUCCNNGCCGGGCCUGGCCCCUUGGCCCUCGCUGGGCGCCCCGCGGGCAGCGGCUCCGCGCUCGGGCCGCCCCGGCAGCGGCGCGGGCUCCUCUCCCAUCCCGAGGACAAGGUCAAGGAUGAAGGGUCAAUGUCAAGUUGUCUUAACGGUGGAAGGCGACCGUCCGCGGCAGCGCUGCCUGCUUCCCGCGUUUCUGGUGUCCUUGAUUGAUUCGAAAAUGCCAUUUUGAAGGGGAACCGCGCCCGGGCACCAAGAAGACGCGAGGACUUCGCUUUUCCUUCCCAGGGCGGAGAAGUGAGGAUGGUACAGGACGGGGAUGUCACCGCCACUCUGCCUAACAGUGUUUAGUGUCUCAAAGUGCUUUAAUGGCUGGAUUGCUUUAGGUUUCAGGGACCCUCGGAGCCCUGCGUUCUGCCAAGCGAACCCUCCGAGAGUUGUAUUUUCCUGUGCUGAUUCCCCCAUCCACGCUUGUUUGCGAAUAUCACAAAGGUGACAAGUGUGAGCUGCCUACACACGAAGCAGGGAAAAGAACUUUGUUCGGUUUAUCAACUGACCCUCCACUCCCAUUCCCACUAAAGGAGAGAAAAAACACGUCUAUUUUUGAGGCCCUCACUGCAGUAAUUUUUUCCCUCAUUUUUUAAAAGCGAAAAUAUAAAUUAUAACUUCCCUCAAAGUUAGCUCUAGAAAUAUAUGUAUGCAAGUAGCAUCUGUUUAUUCAAAUAUAGUUGUAUUUCUGCAUAAAGAGGGAAUUUAUAUGUAAAACUUGGAUUAUUCAGUCCGAUGGCUUAUAAGCUUCUAAUUUUGUGACUAAUUACUGCCUAAAAUCCACAGGCUUUGGUGGUGUUACCUGUUGCUAACUUAGUGCAAAAUUAGACCUGCAAAUAUUACAACAGUCUCACACUAUUUUUUUGUUGGUUUAUGGUUCAGAAUAAAGCUUCCAUCUUCUGUUAAUCAUGCCACACAGCAAAAUCAUUAAGUAAAGUGUAGCUGGAGUGCUGCAGGCCUCCUGCAAGUAAAGCUGCCUGGCCAGAAAAUGCCAUCAAAUUUCCUCUACCGUGCAGGUCUGUCAAAAGUCUUUGCAGAAAGCAGUUCGUUAGUCCUGAUCAUUUCCUCUCAUGAGUGGUAAAGAUACUCCACCUAAAACAGGGAGAUUUGUCCCGAUCGGCUCCAGAAUCAUCAGAAAAAAAAAAAAAAAAAAAAACAAA